rnacentral:rRNA from 1 species
AGCGAACGCCGGCGGCAGGCCUAACACAUGCAAGUCGAACGAAGUCUUCGGACUUAGUGGCGGACGGGUGAGUAACACGUGGGAACGUGCCUUAGGUUCGGAAUAACUCAGGGAAACUUGUGCUAAUACCGAAUGUGCCCUUCGGGGGAAAGAUUUAUCGCCUUUAGAGCGGCCCGCGUCUGAUUAGCUAGUUGGUGAGGUAAAGGCUCACCAAGGCGACGAUCAGUAGCUGGUCUGAGAGGAUGAUCAGCCACAUUGGGACUGAGACACGGCCCAAACUCCUACGGGAGGCAGCAGUGGGGAAUCUUGCGCAAUGGGCGAAAGCCUGACGCAGCCAUGCCGCGUGAAUGAUGAAGGUCUUAGGAUUGUAAAAUUCUUUCACCGGGGACGAUAAUGACGGUACCCGGAGAAGAAGCCCCGGCUAACUUCGUGCCAGCAGCCGCCGUAAAAC